rnacentral:rRNA from 1 species
CGAACGGGUGAGUAAUAUAUCGGAACGUACCCUGGAGUGGGGGAUAACGUAGCGAAAGUUACGCUAAUACCGCAUACGAUCUACGGAUGAAAGUGGGGGAUCGCAAGACCUCAUGCUCGUGGAGCGGCCGAUAUCUGAUUAGCUAGUUGGUAGGGUAAAAGCCUACCAAGGCAUCGAUCAGUAGCUGGUCUGAGAGGACGACCAGCCACACUGGAACUGAGACACGGUCCAGACUCCUACGGGAGGCAGCAGUGGGGAAUUUUGGACAAUGGGCGAAAGCCUGAUCCAGCAAUGCCGCGUGAGUGAAGAAGGCCUUCGGGUUGUAAAGCUCUUUUGUCAGGGAAGAAACGGUGAGGGCUAAUAUCUCUUGCUAAUGACGGUACCUGAAGAAUAAGCACCGGCUAACUACGUGCCAGCAGCCGCGGUAAUACGUAGGGUGCAAGCGUUAAUCGGAAUUACUUGGGCGUAAAGCGUGCGCAGGCGGUUUUGUAAGUCUGAUGUGAAAUCCCCGGGCUCAACCUGGGAAUUGCAUUGG